rnacentral:lncRNA from 10 species
CAGUUGUAUGUGAACUAUGUUGAAAACAGGAUGCAUGACUGGCGGCCAGAACAAAGAAGUUUGGUUUAAUUUCUAUCUAUACACCCAGUAAAAUAUCUGUAAUACCACUGGAAAACCUUAAAAUACAUUAUCUAUUUCUUGUAAAAGAAUGAUGAAAUGUGAAUUUGAACAGCAUAAAUAUGUACAAGUAUCUCUUCUCAACGGAAAAAAUUAUGUUUGUGGAUGAAAUAUGAACCGAGUUUGUGGAUGAAAUAUGAGCAGCAUGAAUAUGCACAGAUAUCUCUCCUCAAUGGAAAAAAUCACGUACAAAAUAUAAGAACCCAGUUUGUGGAUGCGUGAAUAAUGAUAAAUUGAGGCCGGGCGCGGUGGCUCACGCCUGUAAUCCCAGCACUUUGGGAGGCUGAGAUGGGCGGAUGACCCGAGGUCCGGAGCUCAAAUCCAGCUCGACCAAUGCGGUGAAACCCCAUCUCUAGUAAAAAUACGAAAAUUAGCCGGGUGUGGUGGCGCAUGCCUGUAAUCCCAGCUACUCGGGAAGCUGAGGCAGGAGAAAUGCUUGAACCCUGGAGGUGGAGGUUAAUAGUGUGCCCAGAUCGCACGACUGCACUCCAGACUGGGUAACAGAGUGAGACUCCGCUUCAAAAAAACAAAAAACAAAGAAUAAUAAUAAUAACGAUAAAUCCUAUAUGUUACGGUAAAAAUCUUCAUGAGAACAAAUUUACUAUCAUUUUUUCUACUGAAUGGAUGAUCAUGAAAAGGAAUUUAUUUUUAUUUCGUAUGAUGGACUGAGCAUCAUGAAAAAAAAUACUACCUUUUGGAUUGUUGAACUUCCAUCCUGAGAAAUUUACUAUUGUGCUGCAUGCUGCAGUGAUGAUCUUGUGAUCUCAGCAAUGCCCAUGGGGCAAUUUACAUCGGGACUCGUUUCAUCUCUAGACCUUCACUUACCUGAGAAAGACAAGUGUCUUUUGAUAAAUAAAAUAUUGUUAAAUGCAAUGUUGCCUCAUGAUUUUUUUUUUCUUUUAGAUGUAGUUUCACUCUUCUUGCCCAGGCUGGAGUGUAAUGGUGCGAUCUUGGCUCGCUGCAAUCUCUGUCUCCCAGGUUUAAGUGAUUCUCCUGCCUCAGCCUCCUGAGUAGUUGAGAUUACAGGUACACACCACAAUGCCCAGUGAACUUUGUAUUUUUAGUAGAGUCGAGGUUUCACCAUGUUGGCCUCGCUGGUCUCGAACUCCCGACCUCAGGUGAUCCACCUCCUGGGCCUCCCAAAGUGCUGGGAUUACAGGCAUGGGCUACCACGUUCAGCCAUGAUUGUUUCCAGGGUGAUUUGCUACACAUGUUGGGGUGAGUCUCU